rnacentral:rRNA from 1 species
UUGUGCUGGCUUUGCAAGUGCACGUCGAUCGGGUCCAUCCAACACCUGUGCAUCUUUGACUCUGAGCUUGUAAUGAGCGAGGGGUAUUUUACUAUACACUUUGUAUGUAUGUGAUAGAAACUGUGCAUUGCACGAAAAAAUAACAACUUUUAACAACGGAUCUCUUGGCUCUCGCAUCGAUGAAGAACGCAGCGAAAUGCGAUAAGUAAUGUGAAUUGCAGAAUUCAGUGAAUCAUCGAAUCUUUGAACGCACCUUGCACCCUUUGGUAUUCCGAAGGGUAUGCCCGUUUGAGUGUCAUUGUAAUCUCACACCAACUUUAUUGUUGGAGGUGGACUUGGAGGUUGCUGUUGAAAAAYAGCUCUUCUUAAAUKUAUUAGUGUGGCUCUGGUUGGACUUAAGCCCGAUGUAAUAAAAUUUCAUUGUGGUGUCUAUCAGAAAAGUGCUUCUAACCGUCUUCGGACAAACUUUUUGACAACUUGGCCUCAAAUCGGGUAGGACUACCCGCUGAACUUAAGCAUAUCAAUAAGCGGAGGAAAAGAAACUAACAAGGAUUCCCCUAGUAACGGCGAGUGAAGAGGGAAGAGCUCAAAUUUUAAAUCUGGCGCCUUCGGUGUCCGAGUUGUAAUCUAUAGAAGUGUUUUCCGCRGUGGACCGUGUACAAGUUUCCUGGAACGGUACGUCAUAGAGGGUGAGAAUCCCGUAUGUGGCACGGACUCCCAUUGCUAUGUGAUACACUCUCAACGAGUCGAGUUGUUUGGGAAUGCAGCUCAAAGUGGGUGGUAAAUUCCAUCUAAAGCUAAAUAUUGGCGAGAGACCGAUAGCGAACAAGUACCGUGAGGGAAAGAUGAAAAGCACUUUGGAAAGAGAGUGAAACAGUACGUGAAAUUGUUAAAAGGGAAACGCUUGAAGUCAGUCGCGCCUCUUGGGAUUCAGCCUUACUUCUGUUUGGUGUAUUUCCUGUUGGGCGGGUCAACGUCAGUUUCGAUCGAGGGAAAAAGGGGUUAGAAAUGUGGCCGUCUUCGGGUGGUGUUAUAGUCUUUCCUUGUAUGCCUCGGUUUGGGACUGAGGACCGCAGCGCGCCUUUUGGCCGGGGUUCGCCCACGUACGCGCUUAGGAUGUUGGCAUAAUGGCUUUAAGCGACCCGUCUUG